rnacentral:ncRNA from 2 species
GUUCCUUGCUAGGGGUCUGUAAAUCCUUCAUUUCAUUCGAAGUUUUUACAGUGAGAGUUACCCUUCGAACCUGAUGCGGGUUAUUCCGCCGUAGGGAAUGCAUAUCUCCGCGCAU